GAAUACCGGAGAAUGUUAUCACGGGAGACACACGGCGGGUGCUAACGUCCGUCGUGAAGAGGGAAACAACCCAGACCGCCAGCUAAGGUCCCAAAGUCAUGGUUAAGUGGGAAACGAUGUGGGAAGGCCCAGACAGCCAGGAUGUUGGCUUAGAAGCAGCCAUCAUUUAAAGAAAGCGUAAUAGCUCACUGGUCGAGUCGGCCUGCGCGGAAGAUGUAACGGGGCUAAACCAUGCACCGAAGCUGCGGCAGCGAUGCUUAUGCGUUGUUGGGUAGGGGAGCGUUCUGUAAGCCUGCGAAGGUGUGCUGUGAGGCAUGCUGGAGGUAUCAGAAGUGCGAAUGCUGACAUAAGUAACGAUAAAGCGGGUGAAAAGCCCGCUCGCCGGAAGACCAAGGGUUCCUGUCCAACGUUAAUCGGGGCAGGGUGAGUCGACCCCUAAGGCGAGGCCGAAAGGCGUAGUCGAUGGGAAACAGGUUAAUAUUCCUGUACUUGGUGUUACUGCGAAGGGGGGACGGAGAAGGCUAUGUUGGCCGGGCGACGGUUGUCCCGGUUUAAGCGUGUAGGCUGGUUUUCCAGGCAAAUCCGGAAAAUCAAGGCUGAGGCGUGAUGACGAGGCACUACGGUGCUGAAGCAACAAAUGCCCUGCUUCCAGGAAAAGCCUCUAAGCAUCAGGUAACAUCAAAUCGUACCCCAAACCGACACAGGUGGUCAGGUAGAGAAUACCAAGGCGCUUGAGAGAACUCGGGUGAAGGAACUAGGCAAAAUGGUGCCGUAACUUCGGGAGAAGGCACGCUGAUAUGUAGGUGAAGUCCCUUGCGGAUGGAGCUGAAAUCAGUCGAAGAUACCAGCUGGCUGCAACUGUUUAUUAAAAACACAGCACUGUGCAAACACGAAAGUGGACGUAUACGGUGUGACGCCUGCCCGGUGCCGGAAGGUUAAUUGAUGGGGUCAGCGCAAGCGAAGCUCUUGAUCGAAGCCCCGGUAAACGGCGGCCGUAACUAUAACGGUCCUAAGGUAGCGAAAUUCCUUGUCGGGUAAGUUCCGACCUGCACGAAUGGCGUAAUGAUGGCCAGGCUGUCUCCACCCGAGACUCAGUGAAAUUGAACUCGCUGUGAAGAUGCAGUGUACCCGCGGCAAGACGGAAAGACCCCGUGAACCUUUACUAUAGCUUGACACUGAACAUUGAGCCUUGAUGUGUAGGAUAGGUGGGAGGCUUUGAAGUGUGGACGCCAGUCUGCAUGGAGCCGGCCUUGAAAUACCACCCUUUAAUGUUUGAUGUUCUAACGUGGACCCGUGAUCCGGGUUGCGGACAGUGUCUGGUGGGUAGUUUGACUGGGGCGGUCUCCUCCUAAAGAGUAACGGAGGAGCACGAAGGUUGGCUAAUCCUGGUCGGACAUCAGGAGGUUAGUGCAAUGGCAUAAGCCAGCUUGACUGCGAGCGUGACGGCGCGAGCAGGUGCGAAAGCAGGUCAUAGUGAUCCGGUGGUUCUGAAUGGAAGGGCCAUCGCUCAACGGAUAAAAGGUACUCCGGGGAUAACAGGCUGAUACCGCCCAAGAGUUCAUAUCGACGGCGGUGUUUGGCACCUCGAUGUCGGCUCAUCACAUCCUGGGGCUGAAGUAGGUCCCAAGGGUAUGGCUGUUCGCCAUUUAAAGUGGUACGCGAGCUGGGUUUAGAACGUCGUGAGACAGUUCGGUCCCUAUCUGCCGUGGGCGCUGGAGAACUGAGGGGGGCUGCUCCUAGUACGAGAGGACCGGAGUGGACGCAUCACUGGUGUUCGGGUUGUCAUGCCAAUGGCACUGCCCGGUAGCUAAAUGCGGAAGAGAUAAGUGCUGAAAGCAUCUAAGCACGAAACUUGCC
rnacentral:rRNA from 1 species